rnacentral:lncRNA from 1 species
UUCUCUUAAGAAUCUAAAAGGGGUUGCUUACCCACUAUGUUUUUAUUGUAUUUGAAUUUCAACGAUUAAAAAUGACACCAUGAACAAAAGCGGAAGCUCAGAGAAGCUUCAGACAAUGAGACGAAGGAGAAGAUUUGACUAAAAUAGAUUCGGGUUGAGGUAGAUCCGAAUUGAUGGAUUAUAAUAAACAUUGGAAGCAAUUUCAGUAUCAAAAUCACAUGUAAUCUAUACAACUAGCAUAAACCGGAUUUCACGGGUUACCUCUUGAAGCGUGAACAUAUCUCUUCUACCAUGUGAGCCUUCAAUUCCAUAACUUCUCAAU